CGGAGCGUAGCUCAGCCUGGCUAGAGCACCAGUUUUGGGAACUGGGAGUCGGAGGUUCGAAUCCUCUCGCUCCGA
rnacentral:tRNA from 1 species